GACAACACUCAGACAGAGAAGGCUCCAAGGUCCACCAUGAUGUCUGUCCCUUCUUCCCUAUGCUGCCCUUCUCUGCCAUCCCUGCUGCUGACUCUGCUGUGGGAUUCACAGAGCUUGACAGCUCGUUUCUUCUAGCACUGGAUAAGAUCCCACUGUCUGAAUGUACCACAAUUUCCUUAUCCAUCCAACUACUGAAGGUCAUCCUGGUUGCUUUCAAGCUUGGCAAUUAUAAAUAAAGUUGCUACAAACUGUAUUAAGGACAGUCUGUUCCAGGCCUCUUUUCUAGCCUCUCAUAGCCUCAGAUGGUCCUCAGACUUGUACAUGCCAUUCUCCCUGUGACUCACAUCAACUUCCCUCUGUGCACGAUAGAGCUGUGUCUGAAAUCCUGGUUCACACGAACUAUGAAAGAGUAUGUGUUUUCUUAGAUCAUUAAGUUUGUGGCCAUUUGUUAUUCGGCAAGUUCCCUUGUUUAUUAUAGUGUCUGCCAUGCUGCAGCCCAUCCCCAUAUUAGGAUGCAGAAGAAAGAUACCCACCCCGUUCUGUACACUGGUCCUCUUCCCCUCAUCUUGUAUGGUAACCCAAUUUGUAAUUGUCAUCCUUCUGUGCCAGUACAUGUCGCUAAAAGAGUAUGUAAUGAGACCCCACCUUGAGCUAGAACCAGUCCCUCAGAACAUCUUGGACCAAGACAAAGAACGUGAGAAAUGCUGCAAAGUUUCUUUCCAGGAAAUUUCAGGUAAAGAGUUCCAGAUGAACCAGGCUGAAGAGUUCAUUGUCAGUCAGAGCUGGAGACAUCGUUACACUGGCCUGCAACGUGUCUGCUCACUCCCCAGCAGGGCCUGUCUUGUGGUCCAGGGAGAACGGGUCUACAGUUUCAAUGGAAGUCACUUCCCCUAGUAAACCAGGUGGAAACACAGAGGUCAACCAAACAGACUAUUCCAUCUGCAUCAGUGAUUGUUGCCCAAGAAUAUGGGCACCUAUUACUGUGUGAAGUUGAUAAGAGGGCAUCCUGAUGUGGGGUAUACGUCUAGUUCAGGCAUCUAUGUGUCUGUGAAUGGUGAGUACAGUCUGACAACCUCUAUCCUUUUGGUUUGUAAAACUAAAUUUUUCAAAAUCUGAAACACGUACCAAAUCAUCAUAACACACUGGAUACUGUGCCCCUUCAUCCACAAACAACCCUGUAGGCUGGGAUUCUAUACAUGGCUCUUCUGUCAGUCUGGGCCCUGUGCCCACUCUUGAAUGAAGCCAUGUGACAGACCAUGCCCUUUAUGAUGACCCAACUACCAACAUGAACACAGGGCCAGAAAAACUCCAAACUCAAAAGAUAUUCAAGUAGGUUAAAUGCAACUACAUGUGUGCACGGAAUGAUCCAAAAAGUUGUUAAACUGAGCCUACAAGUCUAUCUGGCCUUUCUGAGGUUUAGGGACAAACCUGAACUCAAGAAUAUGCAUUGUAUCUAUUUUGGCCCGCUUCCUGACUCCAGACAUAAGCCAUAGACACUCCAUAUAAUCCUCUGGAUUUGGAUGGAAUCUCAACACGGGGAACCUCUCCAAAUCCUAGUUCCUUCCUAUGUAAAAUCUCAGUAUCUUGGAGUCAUAAAGAUGUAGAGUCUGUGAAUCUUAAAAUGUUAGAAUUAUCAAGUCAUGGAGUGAGUCAACUGACUUCUAGGUUCUUAAAUGGCAUUUAAUGUUCAUCUUUGCAUCUUUCAUGGCCAAAGUGGAAAAAAAAGAGAGAGAGAGAGAGAGCAAGUUUUGGAGGCUUUCAUCAAGCCCAUUCAUUCUUUCAUCCAUGCAUUCCUCCAUCCGACCGUGCAUCAAGCAUGCAUUCACUCAAAGCACACUCUCAUUCAGCCAUGCAUUUACCUAUGCAGGAAUCUGUUCACAAGUACCUGGAUCCUCCUCUGGGGCAGACCCUGGGCAGAUGACCCAUCGUCAAGGAAUUCCCAGGCUCCCACAGUGGCCUUCCUAUAGUAAUUGUCUGCUUUCUCUGGGCUGUGUCAGUUCCCCCUACAGUGACAGUGUCCCAGUCUUCACCCUCCUCGGACUUGGUGGUUGUCACCUGCCGCGUGCAGAGAUUCUAUCCACAGAGUGUGCAUCUCACCUGGACGGAGAACUGCCAUACGAUCGAGGGAGCUGAGCAACUCCCAUCCAAGCAGAAUAGCGAUGGGACCUACGCCCUGGAAAGCUUGCGUUUGGUGAACGUGUCAGGGCCGGGGUCCGAGCAGGUGCUCACCUGUAAGGUGCAGCACGAGACCCAACCUCCCAUCCAGGCCAGCCUCAUACUGUCUGCGGAAGCACACGGCACAUACAAGCCCAUCGGAAGCUCAGGUCCCGAGAUGCCUGCCUCAUCUUUGUGGCAUUCCUUCUGGGCUUCAAGGUGCUGCUGGCGAUGAGUUUCAUAGUCACCUACAUCUGCACGUGGCGGAGCCGGUAACAGCUCCUGCAUGAACUGCAAUACAUUGCCUCCCAUCCUGUGCAAGAGGCUCACAUAGGGGAGAACCUGCCCCCCACCCCCCGCCUUCCAUCCUGGACAUGCCCCCUUCCCCACACCCUCCUGAUGUUCCUUCUCUCGGAGCAGAGUCCUGAUGUUCCGCUCUCUUCAGAGCAGAGUCAAGGAUGGACCCUGGUCUCAGGGACCCAGAGACCCUGAUGGACUGAGCUUCACACUGGCCCUGCCUCUGCCCCAAAGACAAUCAAGAGGGUCAAGAAAAGAAGGUUCCCAUUCUCUCUGUGAUCAGGAACAGCCCUUCAAUUUCAGAGCACAUUUUACUUUUCUUUUUUAAAUGUUAAUUCCAGUAUAGUUAACAUGCAGUGUUAUUAUAGUUUCAGGUAUACAAAAAUAGUAUUCAGCAAUUCUAUACAUUACUCAGUGUUCAAAAUGUAAGUGUACUCCUAAUCCCCUUGGUCUGCUUAACCCAUCCCCCCACUUCCCCACUUACCUCCCCUCUGGUAACUAUCAGUUUGUUCUCUAUAGCUACGAGCCUGUUUUUUGGUUUGACUCUUUUUUUUUUUUUUUUUACCUUUUUUUGGUCUAUGCUUCUUUGAUUCCACAUAUGACUGAAAGAAAGCAUGUGAUGUUUGUCUUUCUCUGACAUUUCUUUUAGUGAUAGACUCCCUAACUCUAGCCGUGCUGUUGCAUAUGGCAAGAUUUCACUCUUUUUAACGGCUGAAUAAUAUUCCAUUGUAUAUAUUGACCACCUUUUCUUUAUUCGCUCAUCUGUUGAUGGACAUUUGCUCUGCUUCCAAUAAUUUGGACAAGCACAUUUUACUUUUAUGCAGCGCUUUCUGCAAGGAUGAUGUGAUUUUAACACCUAUAUAUUUUGAAAUCACUACAUGGAAUAAGCACAUUUUGGUUCUGAAAUUUAUAAGAAAUAUACAAGAAAUCCUUGGUCCUACUACAUUAUCUUUGCAAAAAUUAACAUUUCGCUGUUAUGGCCUUCUGUUGCUUUUAAAAACACUUACCUGAAUUUGGUGUUUAUCAUUCUCAAAUUUACUUUUAUAAUUUUACAACAUGUUAUAAAUCCUUAAGUGAUAUACAAUGUAACUUUGCAUAUUUAAAAUUCUAUAAAGAUGCUGUUGUACUAUAUACAGCACUCCAGAACUUUUCUUUUUUAUGCUCAACACAGUGUGUGAGGUUUCUUCAAGAAGCUCCAUUUUAGUAAUUUUCCAUGGCUUUAUGGUUACAUAUUACAGUAAUAUGCUACAACUUAUGGAUUCUUCUCAGGAUUGUAUCAAAGCUCUAUCUGCUGUUUGGGUAAUACAGCUUUGCAACAAGGGAUUUUUUUUUUUCCUCUAUUUCCUUGGGCACACAAUGGGAGAGUGCCUCUAGUUCCUCUGUUGUGGUCCACACAGCAGUAGUAUUCUUAUCAUUUGCAAGCUUUAGUAACACGAAAUAAAAUCUUUUAAUUUUUGGUGAAGUUGUGCUCUUUCCAUUUAUACCUUUUAUCCAACUUUACU